rnacentral:rRNA from 1 species
UACGGGGGGGGCAAGCGUUGUUCGGAAUUACUGGGCGUAAAGGGCGCGUAGGCGGCCUUCUAAGUCAGACGUGAAAUCCCUCGGCUCAACCGAGGAACUGCGUCUGAUACUGGAAGGCUUGAAUCCGGGAGAGGGAUGUGGAAUUCCAGGUGUAGCGGUGAAAUGCGUAGAUAUCUGGAGGAACACCGGUGGCGAAGGCGGCAUCCUGGACCAACACUGACACUGAGGAGCGAAAGCCAGGGGAGCAAACGGG